UUAAGAAAAAUGUCUAAGAAACGGGAUAGUGCAAGUUUCCUUGAUGAAGAGACGAAGAAGAUGAAGCUUGAUAUAUAUUCAUCAAGCGGGUUGGCCUCUGAUGUUAAACAAGAAGAAGAUGGCUCAGAAGGUGUUAUUGAUCCACCGGCAAGUGCAGUAGUUGAUAAUCAAGGCAGCUUGAGCCCAUUAAUGGAGAAUAAACCCAGAAACCAGGAUGAUAAGGAUUUUUCAUCUGGGUCGGUUCCAGCAAGCACUCAUGAUCAUGAUUCCGAAACUAAGAAGACGGGAAGUUCAUCUUCCUCGUUAACGGAAUCAGCAAGUUGCAGCAGCAUAAAUAAGAGAACCCUCGUCUACAAGAAGAGCUUAACUCGUGAUGAUGUCUUCUACCGCAGGCUCAUGAUUCCAUUAGAACUUGGUAAAGAAUUUCUCCCUGAACCUGAGAAAUAUAAAGGAAGAUAUGACAUGACAGAAAUAUCAGUGAUGGACCAUAAGAGACGGAUCUGGGACAUGGAGGCUGCAUUUGAUGAACUGAGCAGCUCCUACAUGUUUUUUUUGAACUGGGACAAAUAUGUGAAGAGAUAUGGAUUGGAGCCCGAGGAUGUGAUUUUCUUAUAUGAGGAUCCCACUAUUGACGACUACUUCUUGAUUGAAUAUGAGAAAAGGAAGCGUGACAGCAACCCCAAAGAGACAACUUGAGGCCGUAUAACAAGAGAAAGCCUUUUUGGUGGGUGAAUGCAUUCAAAAUCUAGCUAGAAACAAGGCUUAUAUAGAUUAUUCAUCUGGGUCCGUCCCAGUAAGCCUUGAUGAUGAAGGUCCUCAAACCAAGAAGAUGGGCAGUUCAUCUUCCUCAUCAUCAAGUUCCAGCAGCGAAGGCUCCAUAAAUGGUGGUUCAGGUCAGAGAAACCUCCUCUACAAGAAGAGCUUAACCUACGCGGAUGUCUACUUCGGCAGGCUCGUGAUUCCACUUGAAUCUGCAACAGCUUUUCUCCCUGGACCUGAGAAACGUGACGGAAGAUAUGAAAGGAUAUUAAUAUCACUUCUAGACCACAAGAGAGAGGUGUGGACGAUAGGGGCUACGUUCGACGAACUGAACAACUCCUACAUGCUUUGGUGGAACUGGGGCAAAUUUGUGAAGAAACAUAGAUUGGAACCCGAGGACGUGAUUUUCUUAUAUGACGAUCUCUCUCUUCAGUUCUGGUCCAUUGAAUAUGUAAGAAAGUUGCAUGAAGAGAGCUUGAGGCCAUACAAGAAGAGAAGCCUUUUUCGUGUGUGAAUGCAUUCAGAAAAUUCUAGCUUAGGGUAAAGGAGUCUCGCGUUCCAGUGGAAGAAUGAAGAAGAA